GCCAGGCAUGGUGGCGUGCGCCUGUAAUCCCAGCUACUCGGGAGGCUGAGGCAGGAGACUCGCUUGAACCCAGGAGGCGGAGGUUGCAGUGAGCCGAGAUCGGCCACUGCACUACAGCCUGGGCGACAGAGUGAGACUCCGUCUCAA
rnacentral:SRP_RNA from 1 species